UAUGAGUCGCCUCUCAACAUCCAAAUGUACUAAUAUUUUUACUGAUGCGCCCUGGUCUAUUUGCACUUAAAAGAAAUCAUUGAGAUUGAUUUCCGAAGUGGAAAUCGAAACGUCAACAUUGAAAUCGUAUUUUCAAUUAAAAUUGUGAUUCAUUUUCAUUAAAUAAAGUAGAUAACAUAUAUUAAAGAUAAAGAAUAGUUAGGUGCUGGUAACACGCUAGAUUCUUCUAAAUUCAUAUCGAACAUGUAAAAUGAGUUUAAUUUGAAUGCCUAAGAUUUAUGUGGUCCUUACGCGCACACAAAUUGAUUUAUUAAAGUUUUACAGAUCUGCAAAUCACUGGGAUCAUUUUAAAACUGUAAUUAACAGAACUACUUUCGACUUUCGACUUACCCAAAAUUAAAUAUAAAAAAACAACAGUGGAUGAGUAUUGAAACAUUAUGGAACAAAGGAGGAAAUUUAAAAACCAGAUCCCCAAAAAUAGAGCAACUUACAGAACGAAAUGAGAAAAAAAAAUACGAACAGCAAAAAAAUUAUGGUUUUCUUCAAAAAAAAAAAAGAUAAAUGUCUUGAAAUUGAAGAUAUACAAGAGAAGCAUCAUGAGAACCUCGAUCAGGAGCAGUGGUAUAACCAGGGGAGGGUUUGGGGUUGUACCCCCCCAUUGGGAUGUACUUUGAGCUCUAUACGCUUAACACCUCUAUACCCCACAGCGACCCUCCAGUAGUUGUAACCCCCCUUAGGCUCAUCCUGGUGAUGCCGUUGAUCAGGAGGGUUCGAGGAGAACCUUGAUCAGGAGGGUUCUCUGAAUCACAGCCACAGGUAUCGUCAACUUCCACGAAACUGCAGCAUGAUAAGUCUCCUUUUAGAGGUAACACAGACGGGGCGGCGUACGUCGACUGAACCCCCGCUGAGAUGUCGAUAGCGACGCAUCCCUUACUAUACUUUGAUGCAGUAACACACACCAGACGC
rnacentral:lncRNA from 1 species